rnacentral:lncRNA from 1 species
CAAAAAGAAAUGGCAGAUUUAUUCAUUAAGCAAGCAAAGCAAUACGCAGAUGCUAGGCCUAACUACCCACUACAACUCUUCCACUUCAUUUCCUCCAAGACUCCUGCUAAAGACCUUGCCUGGGAUGUGGGCACCGGCAGCGGCCAGGCAGCUCAAUCUGUGAGCCUUCUUCUCUCUCUUUCUCCUUCCAUAUUAUGUGUUCCAUGUGUUUAUUACUGAUUUAACAAUUGUGUCGUUAUGCAAAUUUUCUUUGCAGCUUGCUGGGAUCUACGAGAAUGUUGUAGGCACAGAUACUAGCCUGAAGCAACUGGAAUUUGCACCAAAACUUGCCAAUGUUCGAUAUCAGCAAACUCCUGCAGUCAUCCCAAUGGAAGAACUGGAGGAAUAUGUGUCUGCACAAUCCAGUGUUGAUUUGGUGACAAUUGCUCAAGCCCUCCAUUGGUUUGAUCUGCCUGCAUUUUACCAGCAAGUGAAGUGGGUUCUCAAGAAGCCAAAUGGAGUCGUUGCUGCUUGGUGCUACACGGUGCCUGAAGUUAAUGACGCUGUGGAUUCUGUCUUCAAACCAUUUUAUGAGAUUGAUUCUGAUCCUUAUUGGGAUCCAGCACGUAAGUUGGUUAAUGAUAAGUAUGCAACCAUUGAUUUUCCAUUUGAGCCACUGGAGGGAACUGAUCACACAGGACCAUUCAAGUUUGUAACAGAGAGAG